rnacentral:rRNA from 1 species
UACAGAGGUCCCAAGCGUUGUUCGGAUUCAUUGGGCGUAAAGGGUGCGUAGGUGGCGCUGUAAGUCGGGUGUGAAAUUUCGGAGCUUAACUCCGAAACUGCAUUCGAUACUGCGGUGCUUGAGGACUGGAGAGGAGACUGGAAUUCAUGGUGUAGCAGUGAAAUGCGUAGAGAUCAUGAGGAAGACCAGUGGCAAAGGCGGGUCUCUGGACAGUUCCUGACACUGAGGCACGAAGGCCAGGGGAGCAAACAGG